GAUGAAGAACGCAGCGAAAUGCGAUAAUUAAUGUGAAUUGCAGAAUUCCGUGAAUCAUCGAGUUUUUGAACGCAUAUUGCGCCCCUUGGUAUUCCGAGGGGCAUGCCUGUCCGAGCGUCAUUGCAACCCUUCAAGCACGGCUUGUGUGUUGGACGGCCGCCCCAGUGUGGGCGGGUCCCAAAUGCAGUGGCGGCGCCGCGAUCCGGGUGCUCGAGUGCAUGGAAACCACGCGCUCGUUAGGCCCCGUCGGGCGCCGGUCGACCUAAUUAUCUUCGUUCUGGUUGACCUCGGAUCAGGUAGGAAUACCCGCUGAACUUAAGCAUAUCAAUAAGCGGAGGA
rnacentral:misc_RNA from 1 species